GGUUACCUUGUUACGACUUCACCCCAGUCAUGAAACACAAAGUGGUAAUCGUCCUCCCGAACGUUAUACUACCUACUUCUUUUGCAUCCCACUCCCAUGGUGUGACGGGCGGUGUGUACAAGGCCCGGGAACGUAUUCACCGCAGUAUUCUGACCUGCGAUUACUACCAAUUCCGACUUCCUAGAGUCGAAUUGCAGACUCCAAUCCGGACUACUACAUUCGGUAAGGGGUCCGCUCCACUUCCCUGUCUCACUUCCCUCUGUAAAUGCCAUUGUAUCUUGUGUGUAACCCUACGGCUAAGGGCCAUGAUGACUUGACGUCGUCUCCACCUUCCUCCGGUUUGUCACCGGCAGUCUC
rnacentral:rRNA from 1 species